rnacentral:lncRNA from 1 species
CCUUGUUUAUCCUCAGGCAAGCACUGCCCUGAGUCUCAGGCACACUACAGAAUGACUUCACUUUUCUGACCUGCUCGAUGAACUGGCACUGCUGCCAAGGGCAGAAGCGUGGUGGGCCUCCAGGCCUUUUGGACCACAGAUACACAGCUGUGCUGGCUGGGAAGGCCUCAGCCCACUGUCUGAGUCCUGGCGGGGCUUUUCUGGGUCCCUAGGGCCUGGAGUGAGGGACGCAACACCCCAGAGGCAACGAUGACCUUGGAAUUUGACCACCUGGGUCCCUGUCCUAGAUUUACUGCUUUCUAGUUGGUAUCCUUUAAGCUUGUUGCUUGAACUCUGAGCUUUAGUUUCCUCCUCUGUAAAAUGGGGAAAUAUUGUUUUGUUAUGAGGAUCAAGUGACAUCACAUGUGAGAAAAAUGUUUAUCAAGCAAAACAGACUCUGCCAAUGAGUAACCAAUUCUAGCCAUUAGCAAAGGGUCUUGUGGGGCUUGGCGAUUUCUCUGGUCUGGGCCUUCCUGGGAGGGUGAAUGUCUGAAGUGGAAUUGGUUUAAACAGGACUUCAAACUCCUCGAGCUCUGUGGCUGGUCCUUUGGCACCCUUGGGGCCUCCCUCUGGCAAGGCAUGAUGACGGAGCUCCAUGCCUGUGUCUUCAGGAGCAGACUCUGGCCCAAGUGCCUCAGCCCUGCUUUAGAGACCUGGAGAAAGCAGAGUGAAAAUGGAUGGAAUACGUGGAAUACAUUCUUAAUACCCUGAAAGAGGAAAUCCUGCAGGAGAUACACCUGGAAAAGGAACUCCCACUAGGUGAGCGGGCUUCCCAAGUGGACUCGUGGUAAAGAACCUGCCUGCAAAUGUAGGAGACAUAAGGAACCAGGGUUCAAUUCCUGGGUCGGGAAGAUCCCUGGAGGAGGGCAUGGAAACCCACUUCAGU